UCUCCUGCUUAAGUCCUUCCCACAGAGAGCGGUUUGAUAUGUCACUGAAACCAGCAUCCAGGUGGUAUUGCUCCAUAUGCCUGAGACCCUAACAAAAGCCUAAUUACAACUCAUAUGCCUGGAGCCAGGACAUGUGCAGGAUGGUGAUGUAACUUUCCUCUCUGGAAUGGGUCCUGCACAAAGGAAUGAUAGUAACAUAUUGCAAAGCCAGACACACAGCCAUGAUGGUCCAAGUUAUAUUGGGAUUCAGCCAAUAGAAGAUAUUUUGCCUGUCAUCCCUAAGCUUAGGACAAUAGGGUCCUGCCCACAAGAAAGAUUGUGACAUCUCACUGGACAAGCACCCACCCAGACUCUGCCAAGAGAGGGGAUUAUUACAUAUUGCAGAGCCCAGCACCUAGGUGGAGUGACUCUCAUCUUUUUCUUCUACCCCGUAUAUAGCCAGCUUGGUGACCUACUAUUUGAGUCUAUACCCAGGCCCAGACCACAGAUGAAAUUGUGCAAUAUGUGGAACAAACACCUAAACAAUAUAUAACACCUUCCUUGGCUCUGUCUACAAAGGGCACUUUUAUAUAUCACUGGGACCAUCAACCAGGUGAUGUUAAUUAUCUUCCUGAAACCUGUCUACAAAGAGAGUUGUGUCGUAUACCUAGGCCCGUCAUGUAAGUGAUGUCAGUCCCUUCUACUGCCUUGGCCCUGCACUUACAGUGCAUUGUGACACAUAACAAGGUACUGCACACAGACGAUGUGAUUCUCCUUUUUGGGUUCUGCCAAAAGGAAGCAUUGUAAUAAAUCGCUUGGCUCAGUACCAAGGUGAUGUUUCUUUGCUUUUGCCUGGGCCCUGAUAACAGGGAGAUUGUGAUCUAUUGCUGGGCCCAACAAAAAUGUGAGGUCACUCUCCAGCCGUGGUACUUCACAUAAGCGCCAUUGUGACAUGUAUCUAGGCCAAUUGCCUAGGUGAAGUGAGUUUCCUCUCUUGCCAAAGUCCUGCCCACAGAGGGGGUUUUGAUAUGUCACUGAAAUCAGCAUUCAGGUGAUGUGACUCUUCUGCCAGGGUCCUGCGUACUAGGUGGAUUGUGACAUCUCACUGGACCCGCAACCAUGUAGGUCAUGUGACUUUCAUGCCUUCUCACUGGCCACAGGUGAUGUUGUGCCAUAUAACUGAGACCGUAUCAAAAGCCUAAUAACAAGACGUAUGUCUGGAGCCCCGAUAUGCACAGGAUGGUGAUAUAACCCUCUUCUCUGGAAUGGGCCCCACACAAAGGAAGGAUAGUGACAUAUUGCAAGCCCAGGCACACAGGCCCAGAGCACAGUUGAAAUUGUGACAUAUGUACACCAAGCAACCAAGCAAUGUAUAACACCUCAUUUGGCAAUGGAAUCGAGGGCACUUUUACAUAUCACUGAGACCAGCGCCCAGCUGAUGUGAAAUAUUGGCCUGAACCCUGCCUACAAAAGCAUUGUGGCUUUUAUCUAGCUCCAUUACAUAAGUGAUGUGACUUCC
rnacentral:lncRNA from 1 species